AUGAAGCUGUUUAGCUUCUACCAUGUACCCUUCACUAGUGAGAUAAUCAAGGAAACAACUAUAUGUGAACUGGUUAGGUGUCAACCCUUUAGCUAACAUUUCCUUGUAGAAUACCUCUGCUUUAUCUACUAAUCCAGCCUUGCACAAGUUAUUUAUCAUCACAGUAUACGUCACCACAUUUGGGAAGCAUCCUUCACUGACCAUUAUAUCCCAGCAUUUAAAAGCUUUUUUAAGAUCACCAACUUUUCCAUAUGCAUCAAGCAUGCUAGUGUAUAUUACUUCAUCAGGCUUCAUUCCUCGGUCGUGCAUCUCCUUCAUUAUAUUUAAUAAAUAUUUCCAAUCAUGAUGCUUUAGAGUUCCA
rnacentral:misc_RNA from 1 species